GAUGAACGCUGGCGGCGUGCCUAAUACAUGCAAGUCGAGCGAACGGACGAGAAGCUUGCUUUUCUGAUGUUAGCGGCGGACGGGUGAGUAACACGUGGAUAACCUACCUAUAAGACUGGGAUAACUUCGGGAAACCGGAGCUAAUACCGGAUAAUAUUUUGAACCGCAUGGUUCAAAAGUGAAAGACGGUCUUGCUGUCACUUAUAGAUGGAUCCGCGCUGCAUUAGCUAGUUGGUAAGGUAACGGCUUACCAAGGCAACGAUGCAUAGCCGACCUGAGAGGGUGAUCGGCCACACUGGAACUGAGACACGGUCCAGACUCCUACGGGAGGCAGCAGUAGGGAAUCUUCCGCAAUGGGCGAAAGCCUGACGGAGCAACGCCGCGUGAGUGAUGAAGGUCUUCGGAUCGUAAAACUCUGUUAUUAGGGAAGAACAUAUGUGUAAGUAACUGUGCACAUCUGGACGGUACCUAAUCAGAAAACCACGGCUAACUACGU
rnacentral:rRNA from 1 species